rnacentral:rRNA from 1 species
GACGAACGCUGGCGGCGUGCCUAAUACAUGCAAGUUGAGCGCUGAAGGUUGGUACUUGUACCAACUGGAUGAGCAGCGAACGGGUGAGUAACGCGUGGGGAAUCUGCCUUUGAGCGGGGGACAACAUUUGGAAACGAAUGCUAAUACCGCAUAAAAACUUUAAACACAAGUUUUAAGUUUGGAAGAUGCAAUUGCAUCACUCAAAGAUGAUCCCGCGUUGUAUUAGCUAGUUGGUGAGGUAAAGGCUCACCAAGGCGAUGAUACAUAGCCGACCUGAGAGGGUGAUCGGCCACAUUGAGACUGAGACACGGCCCAAACUCCUACGGGAGGCAGCAGUAGGGAAUCUUCGGCAAUGGACGAAAGUCUGACCGAGCAACGCCGCGUGAGUGAAGAAGGUUUUCGGAUCGUAAAACUCUGUUGGUAGAGAAGAACGUUGGUGAGAGUGGAAAGCUCAUCAAGUGACGGUAACUACCCAGAAAGGGACGGCUAACUACGUG